rnacentral:lncRNA from 7 species
UCCACUUUUUUUUCUUCCUUUUAACGUGCUGAUUAUCAAUCAAGUUUAAGAUAUGAAUUAGAAUACAGACAUCUCAUCCUAAUUCCUAGAACAGGCAUCCACACUCUGACGAGUCCUGUCCUCAGAUUUGCUUGUUCCAAAGGUAACCAGUAGUAACUGAUGUGUUCCCACUUAAACCAACUUACACCAUGCAAGACGCUGUUUGCACUCAUACCCAUAAAACAGACUGUGCAUGGGUGGAUGUGGAGUUUAGUCCUAAUCACAGGCUCCACAUUACAUCCAGGCUUACCACUAAGGUGUCUAAUUCAUAGUACCACAUAAGGUACUAAUUCAUGAUCUUUUUACCCCUAAACCACAUUUGCCUAGCUCUAUGUCUACAGUUCUUGAAUAGGCUAUCAGUGACAUGUUUGUAGCUAUGGGCUCUUCAGUCCCAGCCUGUGCCUUACCCUUAUCACCUCAUGCCUAUACUCCUCUGUGCUGUAUCCCAUGUCUUCAGUUCUCAAGGCCUCAGCUUUCUCUGCACCACGUCACCAUGUAAAUUCCUUAUUCUUCAUGGAGUCACCACUUGUAACUGUUGUCUAUGAAACCAUGGUUAUACCAUACAAAGAUAAACAAAAGUCAUACAGAUUAGCCAUAGAGAUCUGGUCAAUUAGAGAAAUCGCUGUGGCAGCUUAACCAGUUAAAACAAAGCUGUGGGCAGGUUAAGAAAAGUCCGGACCCAGCAGGCCUGGUGCGGAGCUUAUGGCCUGUAAUGAGCAGUGCCAGGGUACAGAAAAAUGUACAAAGAAAAUGAAAAUGUUUUGUGUAUCAAUUAUA